UCCCGUCCUUGGAGCGAUUCAUUCCGUUUCAAGUCAGGGGUGGAGCUGUGCACCCCAUUCAAUUGAAUUCCCCUCAACUGCCUGUUUUCCGUUUCUUUGUUCCUAGGAAGCGUGGCUGGCAAAUUAUAGUUUAAAUGCUAAAGUAUGCCGAGUUAUGGUUAUGAUCACCUCCUACUUGCUUAAGGCUGUCUGUCUGGGUCACAGUAUAGCCAAGCGGAACAACAUAUGUUGCAACUGAAAUAAACCCAGUUCAGGAUUUGAGUGGAUCGCCCCGGAAAAUACCAUAAGUCGGGAAUGUAGGAAUAUAUAAACAUAAUUUUUUAUUUUAUUUUAUUUUAUUUUAAACUGUGACGUCUUCACAAGAAGGCUCACAAAGGUGGGCGGCGCAGCACCGCGGUGAAAUGCAACUGGAACUACCCACCAGAAAUUCAACCAGCUCCGCAGUAAAACGCAAAGAUUCAGCAGCAUUUUAAAACCAACUGAUGAUAAAGCGUUUCCGUCAAAAGGCUCAUAGAAAAGGAGGGUUUUCACAGCCUUCUUGAAGGCUGCAAAAGAAAGGAGCCGGCGUAUUUCUCAAGUGCAGGGCAGUGGGGGAAAAAGUAGAUCCAGCUCUGGAGCUUCAGGUGAGGAGGAGAUCCAGACAGACACACACACAAUAAUGGACUCAGCGGCGACUUUGCAGCACACACUGGAAUAUAUUUUAACCGAGCCCCUUGAGGACUAACACAUUUAUUGUGGCAGAGACAGCCUUGUCAACUGAAGACUCAGAUGUGGGCUUAUGUUCUGGGAUGCCAUUUAAACACAGCCUGGCCAUACAUAAAUAGCCCAAGUCCACACAAGGAGCCUGUGGCAGAGUGCAGGAAACUGAAGCCAGCUUUAUCAGAAAAUGUGACACAGUGAAAACAACUAGCUGUUAUCUCAAAUCUUCCGACCAGUCCCACAGUUAGUGGUCCUCGCUUCCUUACUAGACCCAGAACGUCUGUCUCAGUAGGUCAGCUUGGUACCCACUGCUAGUGCUAGUUGGAAUGAAACUUGGAUUAAGCCCAGAGGAGGGGGAGGAACUUCAGCCAAUUCACAGCUCUUCCUGCCUUCUGCAACCUUUGGAACCUUAUUCCCAGCACCGGUGCCAGCCCUUUAUCCGAGAAGGAGGGGACUGCGUGGGGAGCAAUGAUCUCAUUAUGCAGGCCUCUAGGGGCCAUGACUUGAUGGGCCAGAUAAAGCCCCAACGGCCUCCUUUGAUGACUCUGCUGAAGGAUAUGGGAAAACGGGAGGGGAAAGAAAGAUGCUUGAUGAUACAGCCCCCACCAUCAGCACAGCAAGACUGAUCCAAACCAGGCAGCCCUUGGAGGGAUUCUCCUAGAUUCUACUAGCAGGUCUGGGAAAGAAAGAAAGAAAAUGUGUGUGGGAUGAGAUGCAAGUAUGUUAAUAUUUGAGAUAGGGUUGUUGUGUCCCAACUGACAGACACAUAGGCUCCAACUGCACGUUUACCAGGCACAGCUUCUGGAAUCUGUUCCUUACAAGGAUGCAGAUCCUCCCUUAAGCAUUUAAGUAGUCCACCCCUCAUUUUACUGGACUCCAAACUGCCAAGCCUAAUAAACUAUAUCUUCAAUCUUUACAACA